UACGGGAGGCAGCAGUGGGGAAUAUUGCACAAUGGGCGAAAGCCUGAUGCAGCUAUGCCGCGUGUAUGAAGAAGGCCUUAGGGUUGUAAAGUACUUUCAGCAGGGAGGAAAGAAAUAAAACUAAUAAUUUUAUUUUGUGACGUUACCUGAAGAAGAAGCACCGGCUAACUCCGUGCCAGCAGCCGCGGUAAUACGGAGGGUGCAAGCGUUAAUCAGAAUUACUGGGCGUAAAGAGCGCGUAGGUGGUUUUUUUAAGUCAGAUGUGAAAUCCCUAGGCUUAACCUGGAACUGCAUUUUGAAACUGAAAACUAGAGUAUCGUAGAGGGAGGUAGAAUUCUAGGUGUAGCGGUGAAAUGCGUAGAUAUCUGGAGGAAUACCGUGUGGCGAAAGCGGCCUCCGUAAACGAUACUGACACUGAGGUGCGAAAGCGUGGGGAGCAAACGAGGAUUAGACUACC
rnacentral:rRNA from 1 species